rnacentral:rRNA from 1 species
AGUGAACGCUGGCGGUAGGCCUAACACAUGCAAGUCGAACGGCAGCGCAGUAAGAGCUUGCUCUUACGGGUGGCGAGUGGCGGACGGGUGAGGAAUACAUCGGAAUCUACUUUUUCGUGGGGGAUAACGUAGGGAAACUUACGCUAAUACCGCAUACGACCUACGGGUGAAAGCAGGGGAUCUUCGGACCUUGCGCGAUUGAAUGAGCCGAUGUCGGAUUAGCUAGUUGGCGGGGUAAAGGCCCACCAAGGCGACGAUCCGUAGCUGGUCUGAGAGGAUGAUCAGCCACACUGGAACUGAGACACGGUCCAGACUCCUACGGGAGGCAGCAGUGGGGAAUAUUGGACAAUGGGCGCAAGCCUGAUCCAGCCAUACCGCGUGGGUGAAGAAGGCCUUCGGGUUGUAAAGCCCUUUUGUUGGGAAAGAAAAGCAGCAGGUUAAUACCCCGCUGUUCUGACGGUACCCAAGGAAUAAGCACCGGCUAACUUCGUG